UAUUCUGGUGUCCUAGGCGUAGAGGAACCACACCAAUCCAUCCCGAACUUGGUGGUUAAACUCUACUGCGGUGACGAUACUGUGGGGGAGGUCCCCCGGAAAAAUAGCUCGACGCCAGAAU
rnacentral:rRNA from 1 species